UACAGAGGGUGCGAGCGUUAAUCGGAGUUACUGGGCGUAAAGGGCGCGUAGGCGGUUAGUUAAGAUUGAUGUGAAAUCCCUGGGCUUAACCUAGGAACUGCAUCGAUGACUGGCUGGCUGGAGUAUUGUAGAGGGUAGUGGAAUUUCCGGUGUAGCGGUGAAAUGCGUAGAGAUCGGAAGGAACACCAGUGGCGAAGGCGGCUACCUGGACAAAUACUGACGCUGAGGCGCGAGAGCGUGGGGAGCAAACAGG
rnacentral:rRNA from 1 species